GCGAUCUGCUGGCGAGAGGCUGGGUGAAAGCGGAGGUGGCGAGGGUGGUGCGGCAUGACUGGGCGUAAAGAGCUGGGUGGCGGUUUUUCACGUCGUCUGUGAAAUCCCUCGGCUUAACCGGGGGCGUGCAGGCGAUACGGGCAGACUUGAGUACUACAGGGGAGACUGGAAUUCCUGGUGUAGCGGUGAAAUGCGCAGAUAUCAGGAGGAACACCGGUGGCGAAGGCGGGUCUCUGGGUAGUAACUGACGCUGAGGAGCGAAAGCAUGGGUAGCGAACAGGAUUAGAUACCCCUGUAGUC
rnacentral:rRNA from 1 species